GAAAAACAACAGCCAAUGGCAGUACAGAGGCGAAGUUAGGCGUGAGAAAGCUAGUCCCAGGAAAGCAGCCCUUCAGUCUCAGCAGGAGCCUGAAAAUUGGGGUCAGAAAUCCAGUGUGGAAAAUUCUGACAGCUGUCAGGAAGGAGGUUAUUGAAUUCAUUGGAGAAUGAGUGAUGUCCUAAAUUUGAUGGAGAGAAUCGCUGAAAGUUGGAGUGAGAUGGGCAUUCCAAGUGGGUUGACCUUGCCUGAUACAUCUGCAGUAUUUGUCUGAGACUGCCACCCUCAGCAUUGCUUGGUGCUUUGGAAGCCAUUCACUCUCUGCCACAACAUAGCCUCUGGAGAUCUGGACCAUCUGGACAUUCUGCAGAAUGUUACAUUGAUCCAUUAUGUUGAUGACAUCAUGUUGAUUGGGCAAGAUGAGCAAGAGGUUGCUAUACGCUGGAGGCCUUGGGAAGAUGCGUACAUUGCAGAGGGUGUGAUAUAUGAAGAAUCAGGGAGCUGCUACUCAGUGAAAAUGCCUCUUCACUCAGCCAGAUCUUGAGAGCAUCAUUGUCCGACGAGAGGCCAUUUCCCAAGUAACUUGAAGGCUGCAUGACUCCCGUAGUUGUCCUUAACAGCCCGGCUCCAGUACACCGCCUCCCGCAUACAUCACACCGCCCGGUGUUGGGCUGGAACUAACCAACCGUGAUAUUGGCAGUCACGCUCGCGUGCUCAAACCACCCAUGUGCAUGUGCUGGGAGGGGGCCGGCGCACAACUGCACGCAGCACCCAAUCUGGGCUCCAAACGGCACUGCAUUCUUAACGAGCAGGCUGGCUCAUUAGAGGGAAAUGUGGUCUAUAAUUCCAUGUUACAUCGCCUUUUGGCUCUGUUUUGUCUUUGCAGGCACCAGAUCUCAUCUAUCGGAAGCUGCAUAUGGCUCAUUAAAAGGACAGAGUUAGGGAGGGGCAACAGCAGGGCUCUCAGGCCAGAUGCCAUCAUCCCCUCCCUCCCCCUUUUUUUCUUUUUCAGCCCUUCCAAUGUUUUCCUUUCUUAGUUUAGCCUUCUCUCACCCACUCAGUAAAACCUAUAGACCUGUAAUAACUACCACUUAUCAAGCACGCACUCUGUGCCAGGUACAAUUGUACAUGAUCUCCAAUUCUCAAGACAACCUAGAAAAGCAUUCUAAUCCCAUGGUACAGGUAAGGGAACUGACUCUGGGAGGUUAAGGAGCCUCCCUGAGUGCAGGAGCAGGAGUGGGAAGCCAGGUCUGUCUGGCUCUUACCACUGUGUCACUUAAACUCGGGGCUGUUCACAUGCUACUUAGCACUUUGCAUGGUUUUAGUCCAGCUAAGGGAAGAAGGUUCUUCCCUACCCAACCUUUAUUACAAGGGAAAUGCUCCGUUCCCAUCUAAAGUUCUGAAAUUUGGAAAAGCCCUAUUUCCAUAUCAUUUUUCUUGUUAUCUCCAUAAGCCAAACAACCAAAAUUUAAAUCUAGGGACACCCACAAUAUGCCCCAGCUUCUUACAACCCUGACCAAGAAUGCAGUGACCAAGAGCUUUUUUUCUGCUGGCUCCAGCAUUAGGCUGUCUCACCCUCUGCAGUCCGCUAUAGCAGUAAACCAUGCCCUGCAUCCAGUAA